rnacentral:rRNA from 1 species
AACGAACGCUGGCGGCAUGCCUAAUACAUGCAAGUCGAACGAGAUCUUCGGAUCUAGUGGCGCACGGGUGCGUAACGCGUGGGAAUCUGCCCUUGGGUUCGGAAUAACUUCUGGAAACGGAAGCUAAUACCGGAUGAUGACGUAAGUCCAAAGAUUUAUCGCCCAAGGAUGACCCCGCGUAGGAUUAGCUAGUUGGUGAGGUAAAGGCUCACCAAGGCGACGAUCCUUAGCUGGUCUGAGAGGAUGAUCAGCCACACUGGGACUGAGACACGGCCCACACUCCUACGGGAGGCAGCAGUAGGGAAUAUUGGACAAUGGGCGAAAGCCUGAUCCAGCAAUGCCGCGUGAGUGAUGAAGGCCUUAGGGUUGUAAAGCUCUUUUACCCGGGAUGAUAAUGACAGUACCGGGAGAAUAAGCUCCGGCUAACUCCGUGCCAGCAGCCGCGGUAAUACGGAGGGAGCUAGCGUUGUUCGGAAUUACUGGGCGUAAAGCGCACGUAGGCGGCUAUUCAAGUCAGAGGUGAAAGCCCGGGGCUCAACCCCGGAACUGCCUUUGAAACUAGAUAGCUUGAAUCCAGGAG